GGCCUUGGAUGAUAAGGUCCAGUUACCAGGAGCACUAGUCUGCAGCUUACUGGUUCCGUCCUGCAGCUCCUCCACGCCGUCCUCCUCUCUACAGACCAAAUCAAGAAAAGGGAACCAGGAAGCUGCUGUGCAUCCUCUGCAGUAUCUGGAGAGGUCAGAGGAACGGUUCUUGGAACAGAUCGGAAGACACCAAGACAUGACCUCUGCCAUGCUCCAGAACAUCCAGAAGAUGAAUGAAAACCUUGGCUGCACUGAUGGGACGCAUGGUGUCGGUGCUGGAGCAACUGUCCCAGAAUUAAACUGCAUUGUUGACUAUUGGCUUUUCUAGAAAAUAAAUCUUUUUUAGUACUUCACCUGUUUUGUAUUUUACUCAUGCACUUCGGGUGAAUAAACAGAAAUUUGUGAUGAGA